GUGGGGAAUCUUCCACAAUGGACGAAAGUCUGAUGGAGCAACGCCGCGUGAGUGAAGAAGGGUUUCGGCUCGUAAAGCUCUGUUGUCGGGGACGAAUGUGCAGUAUUUGAAUAAAGUACUGUAAUGACGGUACCUGACGAGGAAGCCACGGCUAACUACGUGCCAGCAGCCGCGGUAAUACGUAGGUGGCAAGCGUUGUCCGGAAUUAUUGGGCGUAAAGGGAGCGCAGGCGGGAAGGUAAGUCGGUCUUAAAAGUGCGGGGCUCAACCCCGUGAUGGGAUCGAAACUAUCUUUCUUGAGUGCAGGAGAGGAAAGCGGAAUUCCUAGUGUAGCGGUGAAAUGCGUAGAUAUUAGGAGGAACACCAGUGGCGAAAGCGGCUUUCUGGACGACAACUGACGCUGAGGCGCGAAAGCCAGGGGAGCAAACGGGAUUAGAAACCCUAGUAGUCC
rnacentral:rRNA from 1 species